GGUAUUCCCUCUAAUGGAACAGAAUGCAAGGGGAAAAAAAAGCCGAUAUUAUUGAAUGUAGCUAGUUUGAGAUUAAGGUUUGGUAGACUUGUGUUAAAUUGAGCACACUCAGUUGCUUGAUGCUUAAAUUUUGGUUCCUUGCUCAACAUAUGGCCUUUGCUUCUACAUUGAAUCUCAUAGGACAAGAUCUUAAUUUUUGUGUUUUGGAAACUUUCUGCUAACAUGUGGAGAUUUUUCAAUUUACUUUAUCUUAUUAACUAUCAUUGAUAUUGUUGCAUUAAAUUACUGAGGUGGUUAGCUUUGCAA
rnacentral:misc_RNA from 1 species